ensembl:lncRNA GLCCI1-DT GLCCI1 divergent transcript
GCACUAGCAAAGAGAAGCCCGAAGAGGCUGAAGUUUCCACGGAGGGCACCGUCGGGGAGACGCAGCCCGGGAGGACGGGAGGGUUGGGCUCGCUACCUCUGCACACGGGCGAGCCGGGGCUCCGUCUCUCAGCAUGUGACACCUUCUGCCAUGAGAUGAUGCUACAAGAAGAACCUCACCGACUGCUGGCACCUUGAUACUGGACUUCACAGCCUCCAGAAUUGUGAGCCAGUAAGUUUCUGUUCAUUAUAAAUUACCCAGUCUGUGGUAUCAUUAUAAAUUACCCAGCCCAUGGUAUUCUGUUACAGCAGCACAAAACAAAUUAAUACAGGUAGGGUGGAGUAGAAAACAGUGCAAUCAGUGGAGAGCAAGAUAGUCAGAAGUGAAUAUAGGGUUGAAGAGCUCUGGCAUCAUGAGGAAUACGAAAAGGAAACAAAACUGUAUUUUCCACAUGUGUCAGAUCAUCAGGCAUAUCUGGGUCCCUUGCUAAAAACACAGAUUUCAGUCCCCUUUCCUGGAGAGUCUAAUUCAGCUGGUCUGCUGGUGGGAGGGUUAGGACUGUAUAAUU